UAGGGAAUAUUGCACAAUGGAGGAAACUCUGAUGCAGCGACGCCGCGUGAGUGAUGAAGGCCUUCGGGUCGUAAAGCUCUGUCGCAGGGGAAUAACACAAUGAAUGUACCCUGCAAGAAAGGAUCGGCUAACUUCGCGCCAGCAGCCGCGGUAAGACGAGGGAUCCUAGCGUUGUUCGGAAUUAUUGGGCGUAAAGCGGGUGUAGGUGGCUAUGUAAGUCAAGUGUGAAAGCCUGGGGCUCAACCCCAGAAGUGCAUUUGAUACUGCGUAGCUUGAGUGCUGGAGAGGAUAGUAGAAUUGUUGGUGUAGUGGUGAAAUACGUAGAUAUCAACAGGAAUACCGGUGGCGAAGGCGGCUAUCUGGCCAAGCACUGACACUCAGACCCGAAAGCGUGGGGAUCAAACAG
rnacentral:rRNA from 1 species